UUUACAUUUCUCGGCUGCAUAUGUUGCUCCUUCAUCCCGUGUGGACUGCAGUUCUUGUGUCUUAGCAUUUACGAGAAGGGGGGUCCUCUAAUUUGACGUUUAUCUGCCUGUUUCCGUGGAAAAUGGUUUAUAAGCUGCGCAUUAAAACUUAAGUCACUUGUAAGUUGAAGAUGAAGCUACUAUUAAUGUGCGUUUUCUUCAUUGCGGUGCACGCAAAAAAAUUAACACCCGAAGUUAUUAAGACAUGGGAGAGUAUAGUGUCGCCUCAUUUUGACUAUUGUGUGAAAAUAACAAAUGUCGACCCAGAAAUACCAAGAACUAUGUUUGAGCAGGAAGAUUUGCCAAAUGCGGAGUCCUUUGUUUGUUACAUGAAGUGCAUUUUUGAGAAAUUGUCAUUUUUAAAACCGAAUAACGAACUAGAUCAAGAUCAGAUGUUAACUACAAUCUACAUGCUAAAUCCAAGUGAAGCAAGCAGGUGUCUUGCUGAAUCUGCAACAGAAACAGAUAUAUGCAAGAAAAUACACGAUAUUAGCGCAUGUAUUGUACAUCGCGUCGAAAAUGAUUAGUAGCACUAAGCAUGGUGUCAUUGUAAAUAUUUCUUAGUAUAUUUAGAAUUGUUAUUUAGUUAUGCAAGCUGAAAAAAACAGUAUCUUACUUUGA